CUGGCUCAGGAUGAACGCUGGCGGCGUGCCUAACACAUGCAAGUCGAACGAAGUUACUUGCUUAGAUCUCUUCGGAGUGACGAGCUUUUAACUUAGUGGCGGACGGGUGAGUAACACGUGAGCAACCUGCCUUUCAGAGGGGGAUAACGGCUGGAAACGGUCGCUAAUACCGCAUGACAUAUUGAAUCGGCAUCGGUUUAAUAUCAAAGGAGCAAUCCGCUGAAAGAUGGGCUCGCGUCGGAUUAGAUAGUUGGUGGGGUAACGGCCUACCAAGUCGACGAUCAGUAGCCGGACUGAGAGGUUGAACGGCCACAUUGGGACUGAGAUACGGCCCAGACUCCUACGGGAGGCAGCAGUGGGGAAUAUUGCACAAUGGGGGAAACCCUGAUGCAGCAACGCCGCGUGAAGGAAGACGGUUUUCGGAUUGUAAACUUCUUUUCUUAGUGAAGAAGCAAGUGACGGUAGCUAAGGAAUAAGCAUCGGCUAACUACGUGCCAGCAGCCGCGGUAAUACGUAGGAUGCGAGCGUUAUCCGGAAUUACUGGGUGUAAAGGGAGCGCAGGCGGGACUGCAAGUUGGAUGUGAAAUACCGCAGCUUAACUGCGGAGCUGCAUCCAAAACUGUAGUUCUUGAGUGGAGUAGAGGCAAGCGGAAUUCCGAGUGUAGCGGUGAAAUGCGUAGAUAUUCGGAGGAACACCAGUGGCGAAGGCGGCUUGCUGGGCUCUAACUGACGCUGAGGCUCGAAAGUGUGGGGAGCAAACAGGAUUAGAUACCCUGGUAGUCCACACUGUAAACGAUGAUAGCUAGGUGUGGGGGGUCUGACCCCUUCCGUGCCGGAGUUAACGCAAUAAGCUAUCCACCUGGGGAGUACGGCCGCAAGGUUGCAACUCAAAUGAAUUGACGGA
rnacentral:rRNA from 1 species